rnacentral:rRNA from 1 species
CGGACGGGUGCGUAACGCGUGGGAAUCUGCCUUAUAGUGGGGGAUAGCCCAGAGAAAUCUGGAUUAAUACCGCAUAAUCCCUACGGGGGAAAGCUUGGGAUCUUCGGACCUGGCGCUACUAGAUGAGCCCGCGUUAGAUUAGCUUGUUGGUGGGGUAAUGGCCUACCAAGGCGACGAUCUAUAGCUGGUCUGAGAGGACGACCAGCCACACUGGGACUGAGACACGGCCCAG